CGUUAUCACACAUAAAAAACCCUCUCUAGCGCUUGUGCUAUUACCUCCCUUGCCAAAGGGGUUGGUUACUGCAAUCUUAAGGGAGGUACGAAGGUUUUCUACGCAUAAUAACGUAAAAUAAUAAAUUUAUUUGUUAUUGAACAUUUAUUAUAAAAUAGAAGCAAGUGGAACACAAUGCUCUGAAAAAAAUCACUAUGAUAAUUAUUAUUUAGUUUUUCAUCAUAAUCUAAAUCUACUUCUAAAUUCAAAAUGUAAUUACCUUGUUAACCGCAGCGUUUUCAUUCGGUUAUUAUUGUGAGGAAUGCCAUGUUCCUUUUUGAUUAAUUUCAAGUAUAUCAGCUACAUCAUAUCCGUAUAGGUAAUAUUCGACACCAUGUUUUUCAACUAUUAACAAUUCUUCGUUAUUAUUAUAUAUGAGUUGUGUAACUUUGACGAAAUCAUUGAAGCGUAAAACUGAAAACAAAAUAUAUUUUAUCAUACCAUAUGAAAUCAUGUCAGUGUUAUCGAGAAGCCUCAUCCUGUGUGUGUGAUAUACACAUAUGUGAUAAAGUAAACUUUUCAGAUUUGUGUGUGUUAAUAUUCGUUCGUUGACAAAAAGUGAAUCAAAAUGUAAAAAUUUAUUUGUGAGUAAAAGCAGGGAAAAGUUAUUCGAACAAGAAAAUAAGAGAGAAGAACUACAGGUGAAAAAUGGAUUUCCUCAAACCAAACCAUAUUCGAAUAAGAUAAAAAACAAAAGAGAACAAAUGUGGAUUUUCCUCAAAAACUGAAAAUUGUUGAAAUUUUUGAAGCUCUGGUAUUCCUUAUCCCUCGGAAGGAAUGGAAACCCCUGAAGCUUCCAUCAGUUCCAAAGCUCUGGCAGUCUGAAGUUUUCCAAUAUCUCUCCUAACUUAAGUGUAGAGAGGAUCUUCAUCUACUUUAGCCAUAGCGACGAUAAGAGCACGAGAUAUUGAAAUUUAGGAAACUUGUGGUAUUCUGUAUGAUAAUAAGAAGCUUUUUUUUACCCAUUAAUCUGAUUGUCACUUCCUUUUUGAGGCUCUAUAUUUAAAGAAGAAGAAAACCGAGGGAUAACGAAAAAAGUUUUAGGUAAAGUGAAUGUUUUGAAGGACUGGAAUGUUUAUUUUUUAUUGAUUCACACCCUAUGCCAUAAGAAGAAGAAGACGCAAUUCCAUAGUACACCUACCACGAAACCAAUUUGACACCCCAAUUGUAAAGCUGCUGCUGCUGCUACUGGAACUUUUUGGAAUCAUAAAUAUAAGUAAACAACAAGUACCGAAAAUAAUUCAAACCAGAUACAUAUUUAAUGUAAUUGGAUGUAAAUAGCUUAUACGGUGUGAAUUUCUACCUUACGGAGGAUUUGAGUGGAUCGAAACAACACAUAGAUGUCAUCUUCGUAUAAUUGAUAUUGAUAGUUGGUUAGAAGUGAAUUUAGAAUAUUCUUCAGGAUGCCAAUUUGAAACUUCUCUCUCUCUACCUUAAUAUAUUUUGGGCUCCUGUCUUUUCAAUUGUAUUUACUAGAUUAUACCUGAUACAAUUUUAUUGAUUCAAAAUUACUGAUUACACACACACACAAUGAAUAUUCCACGCUCUUAAAAGGUCCACAGAGUGCAGACGAUAGGGGGGUUAAAUUGAUGAUUUCGUUGGAAUCUAGUCUUUGAAUUUCAAGAGUGUUAUUUUCACGGCUACUCACCUGGACCUUUUAAGAGCUAUUAUAUAUAAAUAAAAUAUUUAAAUUUAAAAA